rnacentral:rRNA from 1 species
AAUGAACGCUGGCGGUAGGCUUAACACAUGCAAGUCGGACGGAAACGACAUGAACAAUCACUUCGGUGUGCGAUCAUGGGCGUCGAGUGGCGGACGGGUGAGUAAUGCCUGGGAAUCUACCCUAAUGUUGGGGACAACAUAUGGAAACGUAUGCUAAUACCGAAUAUGAUCUACGGAUUAAAGGUGCCCUCUCCUUGGAAGGUAUCGCAUUAGGAUGAGCCCAGGUGAGAUUAGCUAGUUGGUGAGGUAAAGGCUCACCAAGGCAACGAUCUCUAGCUGGUUUGAGAGGAUGAUCAGCCACACUGGGACUGAGACACGGCCCAGACUCCUACGGGAGGCAGCAGUGGGGAAUAUUGCACAAUGAGCGAAAGCUUGAUGCAGCCAUACCGCGUGUGUGAAGAAGGCCCGAGGGUUGUAAAGCACUUUCAAUUGUGAGGAAGGUUCAGUAGUUAAUACCUGCUGUUCUUGACGUUAACUUUAGAAGAAGCACCGGCUAACUCUGUG